CUCGGGUUUCCAGCCCCAUUAUAGGCCGCCAUCGGCGGCAUCAUAAACUUUUUGGGAACGGUCUCCUGCUGCAUUACCUUUGAGAAGGGAGAAGAAGUAGGCAAGGAGGUUUGACUCUGAUCUUUCUUACCUAGCUCGGCUAGUAGCUGCUCCUUCAACCUUUUCAGUUUUUGGUUCAUUUUCUCGUCUUCUGGGUUGGAUCUUUU
rnacentral:lncRNA from 1 species